GAUGAACGCUGGCGGCGUGCCUAAUACAUGCAAGUAGAACGCUGAAGCUUGGUGCUUGCACCGAGCGGAUGAGUUGCGAACGGGUGAGUAACGCGUAGGUAACCUGCCUGGUAGCGGGGGAUAACUAUUGGAAACGAUAGCUAAUACCGCAUAACAGUAGAUAUUGCAUGAUAUCUGCUUGAAAGGUGCAAAUGCAUCACUACCAGAUGGACCUGCGUUGUAUUAGCUAGUUGGUGAGGUAACGGCUCACCAAGGCGACGAUACAUAGCCGACCUGAGAGGGUGAUCGGCCACACUGGGACUGAGACACGGCCCAGACUCCUACGGGAGGCAGCAGUAGGGAAUCUUCGGCAAUGGGGGGAACCCUGACCGAGCAACGCCGCGUGAGUGAAGAAGGUUUUCGGAUCGUAAAGCUCUGUUGUAAGAGAAGAACGAGUGUGAGAGUGGAAAGUUCACACUGUGACGGUAUCUGACCAGAAAGGGACGGCUAACUACGUG
rnacentral:rRNA from 1 species